CGUGUGCAAGCUUCCCAGCUAGUGGGGGAUAUACUGCUCAAUCAGUUCCUGGGCCUGCUUCAACUAUGGAGGAGGUGAGAAGGAGAAGAAAUGAUGGAGGAGAAAUUUGACUUCAGAGAAUAAAAAGAGGUCGUCCACAAUUGACUUUAAGCAGCAAACAGUAAAGCAUUGGGUUCUUGAGCUCCACCUUUCUUGCUCCGAGAAUUGGAAAACCAAAAGGUUUUGAAGUUUUGUGUGAUGCCACCUGAAUUGGAAACCAAGAUGAACAUAACUGAAGGAGGUGUGUUGCUGUUUUCAGCAAAUUCUAAUUCAUCAUGUAUGGAGCUUUCAAAGAAAAUUGCUGAAAAAUCCGCUGUUUAGGAUCCUACUACACUCUUGGAGAAGCUUCAGUUUGUCAAUGGGAGCCCACGUGGGGAAGCUGUCUGAUCACUCCCUGGGAUUCACGCACAGAGCAGCCAGGAACAGGUUCUCCUCUACUCCGCCAUCUGGAUCCAGCCUUGUAAAUGGAAUAUCAUUAUUUUUUUUUUCUGGUAGAUGAUUAUUAAGGACAAGGAAAUGCAUCUGAUUUUCUCAGGUGGGUUUUGUCUCCUGAACUUUAACUGAGCUUGUUAAUUAGUUCUAACAGUUUUCAUUGGAAAAGAGUGUAGCAUUCUCUAUGAAGAGGACUUGUCCUCUGCCAACAGAGGCGGCCCUUCCUUAUUCCUUUCUGGUUUGGAUUCCUGUGGUUUCUUUUUCCUCACAGAUUCCUCUGUCUAGGGUCUUAAGCACUACAUGGAACAGACAUUGCUGCAGUGUGGGCAGCCUCAUUUUUUUGGAGGACGUCCAUCAUGAAAAAGUAUUGAUUUUUUUCAGAAUCAUUUUCUACUCCUAUUGAAAUAGUAUGAUUUUUUAUCUUUCAUUCUGUUCAUAUGGUUUAUCAUAUUGAUUUGUUUAUGUGUUUUGCAGCAUUCUUGCACUUUGGGAUGAAUCUCACUUGAUCCUAGUGUAUGAUUUAGUGAAUGUUCUGUUGAAUUUGCUCUACCAGUAUUUUGUUAAGGAUUUGUGGCUACAGACAUGAGGUAUAUUGGUCUGUACCUGUAAUUUUUAUUGUGUUUUUUUUUUUUAAUAUUACAGAAACUUUACAGUCUGGCCUAGUUGAAAGUCAUCCAAGUUGUGUUUAGAAUGCUGCUUCUCAGACAGGAAAGAGAAAGCUGAGCAGAAGUCCCAUCAUAAUUCCUUUCUGUGAACCUGAACUUGCCCUUCCUUGCUGCUCCAUGGGUGGACUCCACACAUUGACCAAUCACUGUGGGAGGCCAGGCCUUAGCACUCAGCCUGUCACCUGGUACCAUUAGUCCUGAACCAAAUCCUGUGGGAAAAAGCCAAAGCAGUUUUUUACUUGCAUUAAUUGCAGAGUUAUAUCUUUAAUGUGUCCUUUAUCAAAUGAGGUCUUCUCUAGAGAGACCCUGAACUUGUCAAUGUGUUUCUUCAUGUAAGAGCUUCCUUGACUUCUCUCCUUGUGGGCACAGAUAGACCUCUCUCAGCAGCCACAGUGUUCCUUGGUGGGUGGGGAGCAGAUUUGGCCAUCCACCCCUCUACGUGACUCCAGUUCGGGCCAUUUCUACCAGUGCUGGCAGGAUAAAUAACUAGCUUUCUACAUGCUGGAUGAAGGAAAGGACACAUGCUAAGGACAUGGAAGGGUGCUGCAAGAUGAUUCUGAGGAGUAUCCGUGACCACAUCUCCCAGGGGAUCUGCCCAGGCCUUCGUCUCCUGUAUUCUAGACACCAGGGCUGUUUAGCACCAGCCAUCAAACCUGCCCACUCAAUGGGGGACAAAUGACAUCUCAGUAAUAUACAGGUUGAUAUUCAGAGGUUGAACAUCUUUAACAGUUACUCUGUGCAGUGAUUCACUUUUGAAUUGCAGGGAUUUGUCUUUUGUCUCCCUAGAAAAAUGAUUGACUCCUGAGGUUCUAUGAGUCCCUGGGGUAUUAACCUUUUAUCAGUCUAGGGUUUUAAGGAACACUUUACUAGUUGUGAUUUUUCUAAGUAUCUGUGUUCUUUUUGUUUUUCCAUCGGGGGUUAGUCAUUUCCUAUGUGACUUCUGACCCUUAAGUCAGAAGAAAAUACUUUCAAUUUCAAUGUUAUGAAAGAAACUCUACUUUUUCUAAAUGAACUUAGACCUGCUGGAUGGGUGGCACAUAACUCUAUCCAAGUGACUCAGGAUACUGAGGAAGGAGGAUUUGAAGUUGGAGGCUAGUUUUCCCAACUUAGAUGCUCAGGAACUUAGUGAGACUCUAUCUCAAACAGAAAAACAACUGGGGAUGUGGUAUAGUGUUAACGUGCUCCUGGGUUCAAUACCAACUUCUUAAACAAGUAAAAUAAAAUAAACAAAACAAAUAAUACAAAACCUAAUAAUCUUAGCUGUACAUGGGAUUUACCAUUCAAAGAAAAGUGUAAACAGUCCUUCCACUACUAUAUGGCCAAACACUGCAGUUGGACUGCAGUGAUGUGAAAAACCCAGAGGAGGCAAACCCCAGGGAGAGAAUAAUGACUGUUCCCUGGAGACUAGCAGGAGGGAGAAGGGGAGGGAGUGGGUAUGGGUACCAGAUACAGGACAAGGAAUGCAAUUAAAGCCCAUAAGCUGGACAUUUUUUAAAAAUACAGUCUUACAUUUUAAAAUAAAGUAGUAUGAACAAAAAUACAAAAAACCAAAAGGAGAAAACAAUGAAAGGGAGGAAAAGGAAAGGGCAGCUCUGGGGUGGGAAUAGGUGCAAGAGGGCCCUCAGUGGGUGGUGCUGGCUGUGGGGCCACUAGGAGCCACAGGCUUGAGGCUGCUGUUAAAGGUGUUUCUGACCCUGGUGCUCUCUCAGGUGGUGGAGGUGGUAAUGGAAGUUGAGGUGGGAUUUUUUUAUCUUUUCCUUUAUCCUAACUUACAAUCCCGUACAGUCCACUACAUAUAUUUUUCCAAGUGCUUUAUUAUUCUGCUUGUCUUGUUGUUGGUAUUACCAUAAAGGGUGUCUCUGUGUACUCUUCCGUUUGGCACUGGUGUUGAGACUUACCUGCCUGAUGUGUGGAGCUGGAUGUGUUCCCUGUUACAAAGUGAAUUUAUCUUUUCUCCAGCCAUUGAACUUAAGAGUUCUUUUUUAUUUUCAUUUUUAAUUUUAAAAGGUUUAAGUUUAGGCCAGCUCAGCAAUGGAGUCCUGCCUACGACCUGCACAGACAGCUAAACUAGAGGUCGCUCUAGUCAACUUCCUUAGGCAUCAAAUAAAACACAGACACACAAUUUACCUUUAAAUCAAGUCCUAGGAUGGCUCCUCUGCCCUCCGUCUCAAGCUCCCAAAAUGGAAGAGCGAGGAAUCUCAUGAGAGGCUGGCUAGAGGGAAUGAGCACAUUUUGGAGUAGACUUUAUUGGGGGGAACUCUAUAUUCUUUAGAAAUUUCCAUCCAAUGAAGGUCAAGAGGGUCAGGACAGGUGAGGUAACUCGAUCCCUGGGGAUGUAGGAAGGCAUGCCCUGGGGGAUGGAAGUCCAAAUUUUAAUGCUCCAGUAGGUUGAAUUGCAGGAUUUAUUGCCCUUAAAUCUUGUAUUAACCUCCAAUUACCUGAAUUUUUCUUAAUUACAAAAAUGGAUGUGUUCCAAGGGCUAAGUGUAGGCUCUGAAUGACCAGCUUUAAGCUAUUCUUUGACUCAAAUAUGAGCUAUUUUAAGUUUUUCCCCUGUUACAGGCCACUGACUAACCCAAAUUGGCUCUUCUGUGAGCCAAGUGAUCUUUUUUGCUACCUUUAUUUUUAGAGAGAGAGAAGAGAGAGAGAGAGAUUGAGAGAGAGAGAGAGAAUUUUUUAAUAUUUAUUUUUUAGUGAUUGGUGGACACAACAUCUUUGUAUGUGGUGCUGAGGAUUGAACCCGGGCCGCACGCAUGCCAG